rnacentral:rRNA from 1 species
GACGAACGCUGGCGGCGUGCCUAAUACAUGCAAGUUGAGCGCUGAAGGUUGGUACUUGUACCGACUGGAUGAGCAGCGAACGGGUGAGUAACGCGUGGGGAAUCUGCCUUUGAGCGGGGGACAACAUUUGGAAACGAAUGCUAAUACCGCAUAAAAACUUUAAACACAAGUUUUAAGUUUGAAAGAUGCAAUUGCAUCACUCAAAGAUGAUCCCGCGUUGUAUUAGCUAGUUGGUGAGGUAAAGGCUCACCAAGGCGAUGAUACAUAGCCGACCUGAGAGGGUGAUCGGCCACAUUGGGACUGAGACACGGCCCAAACCCCUACGGGAGGCAGCAGUAGGGAAUCUUCGGCAAUAGACGAAAGUCUGACCGAGCAACGCCGCGUGAGUGAAGAAGGUUUUCGGAUCGUAAAACUCUGUUGGUAGAGAAGAACGUUGGUGAGAGUGGAAAGCUCAUCAAGUGACGGUAACUACCCAGAAAGGGACGGCUAACUACGUG